AGCCGGCAUGGACUGACUUAGCUUGAAUCCCUCGUGGGCCGCGCUGGGAUGAAAUGAGAACCAGGAGAUGUUGCAAGUCCUUGAAUCCCUACCCAGGUUCAUCCAGAGUGACAAGGUGCUGCAUCUGGGCCCCUCCUGACCGGAUGCCUGGCAGCCAGUGUCACCGCAUCAUGACUGACAGGCAGUGUGGGGCAUGGCACAGGGGGCCUGCUGAGAGGGGUGAAGACUGAGCCCUGAAGAAGACAGAGCAGGCUCUAACUGCAGCAGGUGCAGGCAAGUACUGGGAGUGCCUGGGUAUUUGUCCCCUAGAGGCCCAGGAUGUGGGUGUCAGGGCUGUGAGGGCUCUGCAGAUUCCAGACCUGAGACACCCCGCCCCCCCACCUUCUGAUUCUGGCUGCAGAUUCGGGAACCCAGAGAUACUCCCCUGCCCCCAGCUUCUUUUUCCUUGGAGGUCUCAGAACUCCCUGAAGUUUUUCUACUCAAGGUUGUGGCGGUGAAGGAUGGAGAUUAAAUAAAAUCAGGACAGGGGGCAGGGACAGGGGCAGGGGCUGGAAGCCCUUGGCUGUGGGUGGAUUCUGUCUUGUGCUGUUAGGGACGCAUCUACACGCAAGCUGAGCACUGGGUCUGCACCUGGACCGUUGUGGUGUGGGUUAUUCACAGCCUUGUUUAUACUCCACAGCUUCCACACUGUCACCUGGGAAGCACCUGGGCAAGCAGAUGGGGUCUCUGGGCAGAAAUGGGAAUUCCCUGUGGUGUUCAGUUGCUGAUAUGAUGCAUGAUGGGUUUCUUUACAUUGUGGUAAAAAAUAUAUAACAAAGUUCACCAGGAGUUCCUGCC